UACAGAGGGUGCGAGCGUUGUUCGGAAUUACUGGGCGUAAAGCGCGUGUAGGCGGCCAGGCAAGUCGGAUGUGAAAGCCCUGGGCUCAACCCAGGAAGUGCAUUCGAAACUGCCCGGCUCGAGUACGGGAGAGGGAGGUGGAAUUCCCAGUGUAGAGGUGAAAUUCGUAGAUAUUGGGAGGAACACCGGUGGCGAAAGCGACCUCCUGGACCGAUACUGACGCUGAGACGCGAAAGCGUGGGGAGCAAACAGGAUUAGAAACCCCUGUAGUCC
rnacentral:rRNA from 1 species